AUGGUUUACCUAUAUCACCCCAUGCAUAGCAUGACAUCAUACCAUUGCAUACGUCCUAACCCAUUUCAAGGAUCUCAAGGGCUUGUGAUGCAGGUCAUGAUGAAUCAACUAUCCCAGCAAGGGGCAAAGAAGAUUUAUUUUCCUCUAGACCAGGUUGUCAGGGGCUAUGACCCACUUGAUAUGGUGAGCUUUGACACCUAA